AAACAAUGAAGGUUUAAAUAUCGUAAACCUAGUUUCUUGUUUGAUCGAUAACCACGAUAAUUCUCAUCGGGGUUAUAUAAGAAAUUCGUCAUGCAUUUUAUAGCCAAGCGUUUUCACAAUGCCAAACGACUUAAUAUAUCAUUCAGUGUUAUUUCGAGAGCCAAGAUGGUGAAGUGUUUAAUAUUAUGUGCGAUUACUCUCCUGUUGGGUUUUAUUGGCGUUUGUUCUUCCCUUCUUUACAAACGAUGUGGAGCUGGAGUUUGCGUUCCAUCGGACACUGAGUGUAUGUCUCCUAGAUCAUCAGUGUUCUGUGGGAAACUACAAAAAUGUUGCGUAACAACAAAUAGGUCUGGAAGGAAGGGAAAACGCUGAACCACUUGCAUUUUUUUGUUAACUACUGUAAGUUUCAGCUAAGCGUUCCCCAACUGAAACGAAGCAAUUUCUAAUGGCGUAAUUUAAAUAAACAAACUUUAACAACGCCUUAAAA